GUAGGUGAACCUGCGGAAGGAUCAUUAACACUUAUAUUUUUAUAUUUAUCCAAUAUCAAAAUUUCAACCAAACGUGAACAUAUCUCCUCCCUACUUCGUGCAACCGGAGACGGUCCGAGUAGGCUAAAAUUUUUUAACAAUUUUUAACCCCAUUUAAAAAUUCAACUCUUCGAUUUUUGCUUUGGAAACAAAACAAAGAACGAACUAAACUAAAAUAUACAUUGAUUAUAUUUUUCUUUUACGAAAUAAU
rnacentral:misc_RNA from 1 species